rnacentral:rRNA from 1 species
UACGAAGGGGGCUAGCGUUGCUCGGAAUUACUGGGCGUAAAGGGAGCGUAGGCGGAUAGUUCAGUCAGAGGUGAAAGCCCAGGGCUCCAACCUUGGAAUUGCCUUUGAUACUGGCUGUCUUGAGUAUGGGAGAGGUUAGCGGAACUCCGAGUGUAGAGGUGAAAUUCGUAGAUAUUCGGAAGAACACCAGUGGCGAAGGCGGCUAACUGGCCCAUUACUGACGCUGAGGCUCGGAAAGCGUG